CCCUGCUUCCCUCCUGCCUGGAGCAGCUGGGAAACCUGCCGCGAAACACUGCAGUCAUGGGACUUCCCUGUGCCCAUGUGGCCCUAGUUUGCCCUGUCCUGCCCUGCGACAGCUUGGGGCGCGUCUUCGAAAGGACGGCACUUGAGGCUCCUAAACCAGCAGCUCUCUCCUUGGCUCCUGUCUCCUCCUCUUCCCUCCUCUGCUCUGCACGCCCCCAUACCUCCCUGCGAAGGCAGGGCCUGGCAGCCUUUUUGGCUGGGCUUCUGGGCCACCCCCAUGAGCGGCCACCUGUCUGGGAAGAGGCGGUGUGACAGCUGACAGAUCCUAAGAACUCUACACCCAGGAGGCCAGAGAGCUGGCUUCUUCGCCACCACAAACUGUCCUGUUUAUGCCAGCUGACCCUACUUUCCCUACUGGCCCCCCAAAAUCUAUUCCCAGGUUACACCUCGAAAGAGGCAAACCCUUCCCUUUCGAGCUUGCUUCCCUGCAGGGAGGAAUUCAGCUUUUCCUUACAGUUAAGCUGAAUGAACAAAGGGCCCCAAAGAGGACAAGAGGUUCCAGCUCUGUGUGCUGCCUGCCUGAGGUUCACCCCAUUUUAAAAACCACCUCUUCACCACCCUCUGCUCACUGCCAUGGUUACCACAGCCUUGUCCUUGAGCGGCACUGGUUGUGUAAAGGCAGCAGCAAACAAGGGCAUUUUAUGUGUUCUUUUAAAUAUCCAAAACACUGGGUUGGUAUUUGGGAAGCAGAAAAACGGAAAUAAAAGGUCUAGCUUUUGCCUGAUUCCUUUGACUCCAGGACCCUGAAUAAAUCCUUUACCCUGGAUGGCCUCCUCGCCGCAAAGAGAGGAUGAGGUUUACUGAGCCUCCAGAGUGGAACUGAGAACGGGUAGCCAGCAGCAGGGCGUCGGUCCCUAAGUUAGUCGGCCUCUCUCCCCUGAGCCUGCAGCUUUAGACUUAGCCCCCAGGCUACGCUCACCCCGCCUUGAGCCUUCCUGCUGACUGAUUCUCCUUCACGCUCCAAGAGUCCCACGUGCUUGACUCACAACUCUCCACACCCACCCCACCAAUGUUAACACUGCUAAGGAAUUUAGUGAUCAGACACCCUCCUUGUUCCACACUCUGAGCCAAAAGCCCUGCUGUUUACUUCACGGAGGAAAUGAAGGCAAUUGGACAAAAGGCUUCACCUUCCGCCUACUGCACCCUUCAUGCUCUCGAUCCUUCUGUUCAGGUGCUGCCCACACUUCUGUUCCUGGGAUACCCAUCCAUACCUCACCCACAGCACCAGGAUGUCUCCCAGUUGUCUCUUGCUACAGCUACAGAACCAGGCGUGACGGAAACUUCUGUGUACAAAAGAAAGAAAAACUCUAACUACUAUGGAGUCACCUGUUGCUCAUCCCACCCCCUACCAGGGGGAAAUAUAAGCAAUGUCCCAGCAAAAAAUAAAGGCCUAAGUUCACUCUGGGUAACCAAUGAUUAUAUUGGCUUUCCUUACAGAACACAGGUGAGUGGAUACCCACAGGGUUGUGGACUCUCCUCCCCCUCCAAUAGGCCACCCCAGGGAAGCCUUUACCCACCAGUGACAAGCACUUCCCUGCAGCCUUAUAGAUUGAGCUUUCCUCCCUAAGUUUUCUCUGGCCUAUAUACUCAUUCACUCCCCUUGCAUGUGAUUAAGGCAGAGUUGCAUACAAGAGAUGGUUGUAAUGGAAAAUUCUUAUGUGAGGGUCUCCCAGUUUGCCCUACUUCUCUGUGUCAGGGUGUAAGCAGUCCAUAGAGCACACUGGGAUAGUCCUUUUGGCAGAGGGGUGUAGCUGAACUCCCCAAAUGGGCAGUCGCUUGGCUCUGAGGGCAGUCAU